rnacentral:tRNA from 1 species
AUUUAAAUAGUUUAAAGGUAAAAUUUUGGUUUGUGGGACCAAAGAUAUAGUUUAUAUUUUAAAUC